UUUUAUUUUUACUGAUGGAAAUUUGUUGUCAUGUUUGAAGAACCAUUAUCUUUAUUUCUAUUUUUAGGUUUUAAAAUAAA